rnacentral:antisense_RNA from 1 species
UGCCCAGUAAUCCUGCCCACUUGGGUAUCCUUUAUUUGGCAUAUGUUGAGUCAUCAGGCAUGAGCAACCAGACAGUGGACAGUGAACCCAGGAAGUAGGGUCUCUCAGAGGUAUGAGGAAAAGCCGAGCGCGCCCCCGCGCCCCCCCUCUCUCUGAGGCCAGCACCCUCUCUGAUUAGAUCCAUUCAAGGAUGACAUCUCUUCCUUUCUGCAGGCCGCUGCUCUGAAAGACUACCCUCCAGCAGGAGAGUUGUCUCAGUGGGAAGGUUUUCUCUAGGCCAGGUUGUUCAGUCAAGAACCUUAUCACAGGCCUCCUACCAAAAAAGGCCCCGAAACCUUGACUUUUCACGCUCUGCUCUUUCCCCUCCUCCGUUCUGCUCCUAUUGCCUCUUCCCUUAGGAGUGUGUCCUCUGUCUUUUCCUCUACCCGUGAAUUUCAUUUGUGCCCCGCCCCCGAGGUGGCCUCUGGUUGUCUUCAUGUUGCCUCCCGCCGCAUCACUGGGCUACCCUCCUAUCCUCUGGUGGCGAGGGUCUCAGCCUUUAAGCAGACGAUCUCUAAG